AGUAUUCAAAUGCAUUAACAAAUUACUAUAGCAUAACAAAAGCCAUAGCUUACUCUAACUGUGAUUACAACAAAUUUGUUAAAUUUUGGUCCAGUUGCCAUAAGUUGUUUGUUUGACCAAUAUAUUCAACUACUCUUUUCGAUGAAACUUCGUUCUAUCGAUGCACAACAUUGAUCCAGUUGCCAUAACUUGGUUGUUUGAACCACUCUAUUCAAUUACCCUUUUCGAUGAAACUUUGUUUAUCGUUGUAUGACAUUAGUCCAUCUGCUAUAUGUGGUAUGUUUUGAACGACUUUAUUCAAUUACUAUUAUCAAUGAAACUUUGUUUAUUGAUGUAUGGUCCAGUUGCCAUAAAGCAGUUUGUCUCUUAACAACUCUAUUCAAUUACCCUUUUCGAUGGAACCUUGUUUCUCGAUGUAUGGUCCAGUUGCCAUACGCAGUAUGUUUCUUAACCACUCUAUUUAUUACCCUUUUCAACGAAUCUUUGUGUAUCGAUGUAUGACAUUGGUUAUACCACUCUAUUCAAUUACCCUUUUCAAUGAAACUUUGUCUAUCGAUGUAUGACAUUGGUCC